UUUCGGAAGAAAGUAGCCCGAUAGUAGGUGAAGGACCCUUGCGGUCACGAGCUGAAUUCGGGGGCAGAAACCAGGGGGUAUCGACUGUUUAACAAAAACACAGGACUCUGCAAAAUCAUUCGAUGAUGUAUAGGGUCUGACGCCUCCCCGGUGCCGGAAGGUCAUGGGGAGAGGUCAUAGGAGUAAUCCUAGAAGCUUCGAACUUAAGCCCCGGUAAACGGCGGCCGUAACGAUAACGGUCCUAAGGUAGAAAAUUCCUUGUCGGGUAAGUUCCGACCUGCACGAAGGCGUAACGAAUUCCCCACUGUCUCGACUGGAGACUCAGCGAAGUUGGAGUCGCGGUGCAGAUACCGUGUUCCUGCGGCAAGACGGAAAGACCCCGUGAACCUUUACUGUACCCUGGCAUAGAACAUUUGGAAAUCUUGUGUAGGAUAGGUGGGAGCCUAAGAACUCUGGGCGCUAGCUCAGAGGGAGGCAACCUUGAAAUACCACCCUGGAUUUUUGACUGUUCUCACCAUAGAUCUCAAUCAACAGGUCGUGGGACGAUGUCAGGCGGGCAGUUUGACUGGGGCGGUCGCCUCCCAAAAAGUAACGGAGGCGCGCGAAGGUACCCUCAGGCUGAGUGGAAACCAGCCGUAGAGUGCAAGAGCAUAAGGGUGCUUAACUGCAAGACGGACAUGUCGCGCAGAUGCGAAAGCAGGUUCUAGUGAUCCGGUGGUCCCGCAUGGAAGGGCCAUCGCUCAACGGAUAAAAGGUACUCCGGGGAUAACAGGCUUAUCUCCCCCAAGAGUUCACAUCGACGGGGAGGUUUGGCACCUCGAUGUCGGCUCAUCGCAUCCUGGGGCUGGAGCAGGUCCCAAGGGUUUGGCUGUUCGCCAAUUAAAGCGGUACGCGAGCUGGGUUCAGAACGUCGUGAGACAGUUCGGUCCCUAUCUGCCGUAGGUGUUGGAGAAGUGAGAAGCGCUGUCCUUAGUACGAGAGGACCGGGAUGGACGUACCGCUAGUGUGCCAGUUAUCACGCCAGUGGUAGUUGCUGGGUAGCUAUGUCCGGACGAGAUAACCGCUGAAAGCAUCUAAGUGGGAAACUCUCUUCAAAACAACUUCUCCCAAGAGCAUUUAGCUCUUCUUAAGUCCCCCUGUAGACUACAGGGUUGAUAGGGUGGGUGUGUAAGUCGAGCGAUCGAUUCAGCUGACCACUACUAAUAGGACGUGUGGCUUAUCCA
rnacentral:rRNA from 1 species